rnacentral:lncRNA from 1 species
CAAGUUCAAUCCCUGGUACCAAAAAAAUAAAUUCUCUUGCUUCCUAUUCCUAAUUUCUAGAAUUGUAGUUUUAUGACUUAAAGUCCAUCCAUGUUGGGCUGCCAUUCCACCGCUCCCAGCCCAGAGGAAGGGGCUUCCAGGCCACCAUGUUGCUACUUUGACUUCUAAUGUUCUUCUACCACAUUUUACCUAUCCUCUCCUACACUGAUGAAACAGAAUGCUUCUCUUUAUUGUCACUGAUGAAGCUUGAAAGCAUAUUCUACUACAUGUUGGUCCUGCGAAGAAUUUCUUUGCUAUACACACAGAAUGCUGGAUCAUGACAAAUAGCUAAUUCAGCUAGCUUACAUAAAAUUGGGCAUAUGACUACAAUGUCUGAGAUCCCAGCAAGAGUCCUAACAUCUAACAACUCCAUCACCAGAAGAGGCCUCAUAAAAUUAAUCCCCACAAGCACAUCUAAAGAAAUUCCAUAGGGAUUAGAAGACUCAGAAACAACUCCAGACACACUCAGCUACCUCAUCUUCGACAAAGGAGCCAAACACCCUCACUGGAGGAAAGACAGCCUCUUUAAUAAAUGGUGCUGGAAAAACUGGGUUUCAACUUGCCAAAGAUUAAAACUAGACCUAUAUGUAUCACCAUGCACUAAACAAAAAUCAAAAUGUAUCAAAGAUCUCAAUAUUAAAACAGAAACAUUAAACCUGCUGGAAGAUAGGUUAGGUAGAACCUUGAAGACACUGGUGUAGGAAAACACCAAUGUGUUUUCCACCAAACCCUCAGUCGCAUGGGAACUAGCACAAACAAUCAACAACUGGUAUCUCAUCUUGCUAAAAAGCUUCUGCACAGCAAGAGAAACCACUAACAGACUCAAGAGACAAUCUACAGUGUGGGAAGAAAAUUUUACCAGCUGUUCCUCAAAAAACUACUACCUAGAAUAUAUAAAGAACUUUAAAAAACUAGACCCCUCAAAUAAAACAGACCCCCCUAAAUAAAAAGACCUAGUUCAAAAAUGG